CACGUAGGGGGCUAGCGUUGUCCGGAAUCAUUGGGCGUAAAGCGCGUGUAGGCGGUCCGGUAAGUCCGCUGUGAAAGUCGGGGGCUCAACCCUCGGAUGCCGGUGGAUACUGUCGGGCUUGAGUACGGAAGAGGCGAGUGGAAUUCCCAGUGUAGUGGUGAAAUACGUAGAGAUUGGGAAGAACACCAGUGGCGAAGGCGGCUAUCUGGACGGUUUCUGACGCUAAGACGCGAAAGCGUGGGGAGCAAACAGG
rnacentral:rRNA from 1 species